AUUGAACGCUGGCGGCAGGCCUAACACAUGCAAGUCGAGCGGAUGAAGGGAGCUUGCUCCUGGAUUCAGCGGCGGACGGGUGAGUAAUGCCUAGGAAUCUGCCUGGUAGUGGGGGAUAACGUCCGGAAACGGGCGCUAAUACCGCAUACGUCCUGAGGGAGAAAGUGGGGGAUCUUCGGACCUCACGCUAUCAGAUGAGCCUAGGUCGGAUUAGCUAGUUGGUGGGGUAAGGCCUACCAAGGCGACGAUCCGUAACUGGUCUGAGAGGAUGAUCAGUCACACUGGAACUGAGACACGGUCCAGACUCCUACGGGAGGCGGCAGUGGGGAAUAUUGGACAAUGGGCGAAAGCCUGAUCCAGCCAUGCCGCGUGUGUGAAGAAGGUCUUCGGAUUGUAAAGCACUUUAAGUUGGGAGGAAGGGCAGUAAGUUAAUACCUUGCUGUUUUGACGUUACCAACAGAAUAAGCACCGGCUAACUUCGUG
rnacentral:rRNA from 1 species